rnacentral:rRNA from 1 species
CACCGCGGUUAUACGAAUGACUCACAUUAACAUAUCCCGGCGUAAAGAGUGAUUAAAGGAUAGACUUCAACUCAACUAAAGUUUAGAUUUUAUAAGGCUGUUAUAUGCAUUUAUAAAUAGAAUUCUCAUUAACGAAAGUAACUUUAAUUAAUAAGACCCCUUGACGUCACGACAGUUGGACCCCAAACUAGGAUUAGAUACCCCACU